AAAGAGUCUUUCAUGCUUCCAUUAAUCCAUUGCAAUUAAUUACAUGUGAAAAGUUGGCAUCAUCAAAAUUUAUUGCAAUCAUGCCAAAAGCCUUCUUUUCACGUCAUUUGUACUCCUUCUUCACCUUCACAUCAGCAUCAUCACUAGGAGGCUCUUCACUUUCAUCAACAAUGUCCGAAAGGUCCAAUAAAGCCAACAAAAGCUCCAUUUUUUUCUUCCAAUGGUGGAAGUUGUCACUUCUAAACUUCUCAUUCACUCUCAAAUCCUCACCUUUACUUAAAGCCAUGUCUAAAGAAGGAAUGGAUCAAAGAAAAUCAAAAAAAGAGAAGAUAGAACUCUCAA
rnacentral:lncRNA from 1 species